rnacentral:lncRNA from 1 species
CGCCGAACCGCGGAGAAGCCGCUGGCAGGCACCACUCCGCCGUCGUGCCGCUGGGACUACAACUCCCGGCGUGCCCCGGGGCAGCGGCGCACGGAGCGCGCUGAUUGGCCCGCGGGGGCAGCGCAGUGCGGGCGCCCCCACGUGGCGGCUCGGCGGGGCCGCGACCCCCGGGAUAACCCGGGACAAACCGGGACAAGCCGGGACAAACGGAAACAGCUCGGCUUCCUCUCGCUCCUGUGCCACGGACCUCGCCCGCCCUACCCUGAGGGACCCUGCGCUGAGUCUGGUGGCUGGGAACGGGGCCAGAUCACAGUGAGCAGGAGGAGCUCUGGGACGCCGCAGGGAGAUUCCUGCCUUUCCAGGCAGCCUCUGGCAGGCAGUGCUGGAACACGAUGGGAAUGUUAACAAAGUUCCUGGAAUCUCCAUGGAGAGAGCUGUAAAGGACAGCAUCCCUGACAGAGCAACUGAAUUAAAAUUUCAGCUGAUCAACCUUUCAGUUAUUCCCUGAUUUAUGGUAUAACACAAGUUUUUGCAGGUGAAAUAAAGAUGUUUUUUAAAUGAAUAAUGACGUUCUG